AAACGUAGGGGGUGCCUUCCAUCUGGAAGAAUCUGGAGACAGGUGCUGCAUGGCUGUCGUCAGCUCGUGUCGUGAGAUGUUGGGUUAAGUCCCGCAACGAGCGCAACCCUUGCCUUUAGUUGCCAGCAGUUCGGCUGGGCACUCUAAAGGGACUGCCGGUGUUAAACCGGAGGAAGGUGGGGAUGACGUCAAGUCCUCAUGGCCUUUAUGACCAGGGCUACACACGUACUACAAUGGCCGAUACAAAGGGCAGCGACACUGCGAGGUGAAGCCAACUACCCGUAAAACCGAUCGUAGUCCGGAUCGCAGUCUGCAACUCGACUGCGUGAAGUCGGAAUCGCUAGUAAUCGUGAAUCAGAAUGUCACGGUGAAUACGUUCCCGGGCCUU
rnacentral:rRNA from 1 species